UACAGAGGGGGCUAGCGUUUUUCGGAAUCACUGGGCGUAAAGCGCAUGUAGGCGGUAUUCUUAGUCAGUGGUGAAAUCCUGGGGCUUAACCUCAGAAUUGCCAUUGAAACUGGAAUGCUUGAAGACGGUAGAGGAUGGUGGAAUUCCUAGUGUAGGAGUGAAAUCCGUAGAUAUUAGGAGGAACACCGGUGGCGAAGGCGACCAUCUGGGCCGGUCUUGACGCUAAGAUGCGAAAGCGUGGGGAGCAAACAGG
rnacentral:rRNA from 1 species